rnacentral:rRNA from 1 species
GACAGAGGGUGCAAACGUUGUUCGGAAUUACUGGGCGUAAAGAGCGUGUAGGCGGCCAGCCAAGUCGGGUGUGAAAGCCCUGGGCUCAACCCAGGAAGUGCAUUCGAUACUGGCAAGCUAGAGUCCCGGAGAGGAUGGUGGAACUCUCGGUGUAGAGGUGAAAUUCGUAGAUAUCGAGAAGAACACCGGUGGCGAAGGCGGCCAUCUGGACGGUGACUGACGCUGAGACGCGAAAGCGUGGGGAGCAAACAGG